rnacentral:rRNA from 1 species
AGUGAAAACUGGCGGUAGGCCUAACACAUGCAAGUCGAACGGCAGCACAGUAAGAGCUUGCUCUUACGGGUGGCGAGUGGCGGACGGGUGGGGAAUACAUCGGAAUCUACUUUUUCGUGGGGGAUAACGUAGGGAAACUUACGCUAAUACCGCAUACGACCUACGGGUGAAAGCAGGGGAUCUUCGGACCUUGCGCGAUUGAAUGAGCCGAUGUCGGAUUAGCUAGUUGGCGGGGUAAAGGCCCACCAAGGCGACGAUCCGUAGCUGGUCUGAGAGGAUGAUCAGCCACACUGGAACUGAGACACGGUCCAGACUCCUACGGGAGGCAGCAGUGGGGAAUAUUGGACAAUGGGCGCAAGCCUGAUCCAGCCAUACCGCGUGGGUGAAGAAGGCCUUCGGGUUGUAAAGCCCUUUUGUUGGGAAAGAAAAGCAGCAGGUUAAUACCCCGCUGUUCUGACGGUACCCAAAGAAUAAGCACCGGCUAACUUCGUG